GUUGAAUAGUAAUGUUAGUGGUGCAGAUAACAUAUAGUGUUUACCCUGGCCGUCGUCAGUGGUGCGCAAAUGUGUGAUUCACGUGCACAUCAGUUUAGUCAAGACGCCCAAGUUGGAAGGACACAGAAAGAACAAAGAAGGAAGGCGCAGGAGCUGGUGACUUCAGACCCAUGGAAAGGUGAAAUAAUGCAAGUUGUUGCAGAUAUCUUCUACCUUUAGUCAGCUAUUUGUAUCUUCUGUAAGGGUCAUUACACGAGAUUGGCAGACUUUCUCUAAGCUGUUGAAAUAGUGAUGAAAUAAAAUUGGUUUGGGCUGAAACCACAGAACAUUAUACAGUGCUUAAAUCAGUUAUACAGGAAGUUUUAAACCAGUUUUGCUAAAUCAAAGUAGAACAAAAUGGAAAUUUGAAGAAAGGUGGAAAAUUAUUGGUGAACAUGAGCAGUGCUGAAAGUUCUCAGUGCACAGGAAAUGUCAACAUAUUAUAGUUGAGGCUAGUAGGCUUAUCAGACAAAAAUGGUAAGCAUCUGACAGUCAUGAAUGGAAGAAGAAAAUAACCAAGAAAAUGACUGUAUAUGCGAAAGUGUUUCAAAAAUAUCCAACAAUUGAAUAUUCAGUUUUUGGGAGAAAUUAGUAGCUUUUCAUAAGAUUUUUAGCAUGUGAUCUAGUACAAGAUGCUUUACUUUGAUGAAUGUAUAAGUAUGAAUGGCCCAAGUGACAAGUCGGUUGAUAAGAAUUCCUUUGAAAUGAAUAGAAACACAGUAUGUCUUUAAACAUGCUAAUUUUCUCAAUAUACAAACUCGUUUAAGUUAUAUGUAUGGUACAUGUAUUUCAAUUUAUGUCUUUCACUUCACUGUCUAUGUUACAUAAUUAGGAUGAACUUUUACGGACUAUUAUGUUAUACUGGCUAUAGCCAAAUUUGUUAUCCUCUUUAAAUAAAGUUACUACUAAUAUCAUAAUGAACAUUUGAGCAAGGUUGUAGUAAUAUAAAAUGAAAAAACUUGGAAGCAAAAUGACAGUAGGAAAAUUUAAAAUAUGUACUUCUUCAUUGCAAAAUUUAUGUGCAAAGCAAAAAAUAUUAAGUCUAUCAUUUGCAAAGCAUUGUUAUGACAGAGGACUAUUUUAUUACCGUAUUCCAGUCUAUGAUGUUUUGUAUCAGUAAGUUUCAUUUAAAUAAAUAAUUUAAAUAUU